GANUUAACCNNNNNGGAUUANANACGGCCCAAAUNCNUNNGGNNGCACNNGGGGGAAUUUUCCCAAAUGGGNCCAACCNUNANGGAANAAACCCCGNUUAANGAANNAANNCCUUNNGGNNGUAAAACCUUUUUUUUUUCNAGGAAGAAGAUUNUGACNGUACNUUGAUGAAUUAAGCNACGGGNUAAUUNCNUUGCCAGCAGCCCGCGGUUAAAANGGGAGUGGCNAAGCGUUUUUCCGGAAAUUUUUGGGNGUAAANGNGUCCNGCCGGGCGGUUCUUNUAANUUUUGUUGUUUAAAGNGUGGGGGCUUAANUCCCAUUUCAAGCAAUGGAAAACUGUAAGAAUUAGAGUGUGGUAGGGGCAGAGGGAAUUNCCCGGUGUAGCGGUGAAAAUGCGUAGAUAUCGGGAAGAAACACCAGUGGCGAAGGCGCUCUUGCUGGGCCAUAACUGACGCUCAUGGACGAAAGCCAGGGGAGCGAAAGGGAUUAGAUACCCCUGUAGUCCUGGCCGUAAACGAUGAACACUAGGUGUCGGGGGAAUCGACCCCCUCGGUGUCGUAGCCAACGCGUUAAGUGUUCCGCCUGGGGAGUACGCACGCAAGUGUGAAACUCAAAGGAAUUGACGGGGGCCCGCACAAGCGGUGGAGUAUGUGGUUUAAUUCGAUGCAACGCGAAGAACCUUACCAGGGUUUGACAUCCUGCGAAUCUUUUGGAAACGAGAGAGUGCCUUCGGGAACGCAGUGACAGGUGGUGCAUGGCUGUCGUCAGCUCGUGUCGUGAGAUGUUGGGUUAAGUCCCGCAACGAGCGCAACCCACGUCGUUAGUUGCCAGCAUUGAGUUGGGCACUCUAGCGAGACCGCCGGUGAUAAACCGGAGGAAGGUGUGGAUGACGUCAAGUCAUCAUGCCCCUUACAUCCUGGGCUACACACGUACUACAAUGCUACGGACAAAGGGCAGCAAACUCGCGAGAGCUAGCAAAUCCCAUAAACCGUGGCUCAGUUCAGAUCGUAGGCUGCAACUCGCCUACGUGAAGGAGGAAUCGCUAGUAAUCGCAGGUCAGCAUACUGCGGUGAAUACGUUCCCGGGCCUUGUACACACCGCCCGUCACACCAUGGAAGUUGGCCACGCCCGAAGCCGUUACUCCAACCCUUGUGGAGGAGGAUGUCGAAGGUGGGGCUGAUGACUGGGGUGAAGUCGUAACAAGGUAACCAUCCAGCUCGNCNAGU
rnacentral:rRNA from 1 species